rnacentral:rRNA from 1 species
UAUAGUUUAUUUGCUAUUCUUUUAUAUGGAUAACCGUAGUAAUUCUAGAGCUAAUACAUGCAUUAUUCGCGACUCACGAAGCGUAGUAUUUAUUAGAUAAGCACCACGGCUUCGGCUGUGUGAGGAAUCAUAAUAACUGAGCGAACUACCAUCGGUAGUGAAGCAUUCAAGUUUCUGCCCUAUCAGCUUUCGAUGGUAGUGUAUUGGACUACCAUGGCGUUGACGGGUAACGGAGAAUUAAGGUUCGAUUCCGGAGAGGGAGCCUGAGAAACGGCUACCACA